GUCAGCACCACCCCCCCAUACUGAUUAUAGCUGAUCACACACACCUGUGAUGUUUCAUCACAACAAACACAAUGAGCACAUGCUGCAAGAACUUAGAGGUCCGUCUGGUCUAUCCAAAGGUGAAUAUCUUCUGUCAAGAAGUGUUAUUGAGAGAAAGUUGCUCUUGCAUGACGAAAACACAUCUUUGUGAGAUUAAAUGCAUGUCGAUACGAAGAGGAUGGAUGACCCAAGCUGUCUGUAGAGGUGCACUGUUGUUAAUCAGGCCCAGCGACGCCGGACAGUAGAUCAGAUCCCCGAGACAACACCGGCCAACGCUGAUGAAUACGGAGCGGCUCAAAUCCUGAGGAAGUGCACUCUUGGCAAUGUGGGAAUACCAGAGGAGGGGGAGCAGGAGGAGGGGGUGAGACAGGUGUGAACAGGUCCUGACCUCCCAUGCCUUCAUACUCAACCCUGGACACAUGCAGUCGUAUUUAAUUGAACUAUCAGCUCGCUUUGCCAUGUCAGAGAAAUGCAUAUCAGGGUUUGUUUCAAGAUGAACUCUCAAGAUUAUUUAAUUGCUACAGCACAAACAGAGAAUAAUUUGGCCUACUUUGACUAAUGUCGAUUUUGAACCUAAUUAUAACCACUAAUGGUGUUUUUACUUCUGCUGGCUCUUUUACAUCUCAUGUGGAUGUGUGUGAGUGUGUGUGUGUUUGUGUGUGUGUGACUGUGUAUACGUGUUUGUGCACAAGCUUGCUUGCUGUUGUGUGUUUGCGAUGAGACCUUAGACCCAAAUGUAAUUAGACUUGCUAAUGACCGUGGCCUGUUUACAGCGUAAGCCUGCUAAUGAUAAAUGCAGUUGACUUAUGGAGUCUUCAAACACAGUCUGUGGGCUGAGCUCCACAUCAAUUAGCUAGCCGCAGUUCAUAUAUCAUUCACUUAGAUAGUGGGUUCCCUGCACAGGAACAAUGUCCAAGCAGGCACUUUAUUCUGACCUGAUUCGCCGUGUUUCCCACAGUCGUAUCUAUUCAUUAUACCCAAAGUCAUGGAAGACUUGGACAGGAACUUUGGAUAAGUAGAAUGACUGAAGUGAUCAUUUGAUCCCAAUCGAAAUAUUAUAUUUGUAUCGUCUAUGCAAAUUCUACUUGGCAUGUCCCAAUCCCAUUACAAACGUCCUAAUGAGUUAUGUUGCUGCUGCUGUCAUCUAUGAAUGAUACAAUGACGUCUUACGGAAAGCAUUAACUGAAGAAGGAAUCCAGCUCAUAAAUUAAAUAAUAAAUCAGUGACAAGCAACAUCAUAAAAAGAGUACCUCGAGGACAAUCUGCAACAACAACAACAACAACAACAACAACCCUUGAGUGCAACAGACCUGAACCGUUGUAUUCCAUGAUGUCAGCCAUUUUAAAGCAUUCAUGUAAACAUUGGGGUGAAUUAAAAAAAAAAAAAGUUGGGUUGACCAUAGUGUACCUUUUGGGGACGGUGCACUUUCUGAUGAGGCUGAGGAAAUGGUGGUUUCCAGGGGGUUGAUGAUGACGGCUAACAGGAAGUGAGGGUCAGCUGGUGUCCUGACCACCUGCUCUGCACCUCGGAGGAGCUCUAAGGAGCUCAAGGCUGUCUGGGGGUCACCACGGACAGGAAAGGAACUCACCACAUGCUACCCUCCCCCAAUCACUGAAUGUGUGUAUCCAGGGAUAGCUGAGACUCCAGGGCCGGAGCUGCUGCAGCCCCAGUAGGAGGCAAGGUUACCCAGGCCCACAAGUGACGCAUCCUCGCCAGAGGUUCAGGCACGCCUUGAAGCCUCAAGGUCACAUGACUGCUGCCAUGAAGGAAGUCAUAAACAAAAUGCUGUGGUCCACAGCACGACGGUGUGUCGGGUGAACGCCCAGGAGAGUAGGCUGUCUGCUGCCCACUGGCUCCUCUUCUUCUCCCACUUAUUCUCCCACUGCCUUGACACAUGUCAACUUGUCAAGAAGUUGUCCUUGGGCCGAGUCUCCUGCAGGAUGGAGGAUAUGUGGAUGAAUACGAUGUAGACCUCAGGAAAAUAAAGGAUGCUUUGCGAAGGCUCUGCCUUUAUUUUGGGGAAAGAAGAGGUCUUGGUGACGAGGGAUUAAAAAAACGGUUAACACCAGUACACACAGUACACAAAUGCUCAUUGGAAUUGGUAAAUUCAUUCCUCCAUUAUUUUAGCAACACUUCCUUCCAUUCGGCCAUUUUCUGGGUCUUCUGAACCAAAAGCAAAAAAUAUAUUACUUACAUUUUUGUUUACACUCCUGCAUAGUUUGGACGCACCAGAACACAACGCCUGCUGCCACAUACUGAAAUGAGUAAAAAAAUAAGGAAAAUAAAUAGGGUGUUUCAGUUCACCCGAGCAAAGCUUACGCCGAGUGACUCCAGUAUGAAUGCGUGUCUGGUCCCCUACCACCUCCCCCCUCCCUCUGGUGGUCAUUCCGUCCGUCCGUCAGACAGGUGUAUUGACAUUCAUUCACAGGGAUGAAUCACAGUGUUUGCUCAGGGUAAAUGUUAAAGCUGGGGCUCUGCUUGACUGACACUGUGGAUUUCCUUCCCCCAGUCAGAGUGAAUAUUCCCCCCGGUGUGCUGCAUUGGCUCGGGACUGGGCUGAGUAGAGUGUUUGUGUGUGCGUUCUGUUUGUGUGUGUGUGUGUGUGUGUGUGUGUGUGUGUGUGUGUGUGUGUGUGUGUGUAGAGGUGUGUGUGUGUGCAUAGAGGCUGUCAGUGGGACGUCAACAUCUCUAUUACAGCCACUGGACCACGACCCCAACUCACACCACAUAAGCAGACUGCCGCUGUUACUGCUGCUGUUGUUUACGGACUAGAUUUGAUUACACAACGCAUUGCUAUAGUACACCAUUGUUACUUGUUGCUAUAUGUUUUAUCCUACAGUGAAUUCAGAUGUGUGGCAGAAGGGAGCAGGUAGAAGUAAGGCAUCUUGUUUAAGGAGUGGUGAGGCUGCAGACACUGGCGUCGAUCCCGGUAACUUCAGCCAGGGAGUUGACAGUACCCCUUCCGGCUAAGGGCUCAAUAUGUAAACCGGCAGUCCAUAUUGCACAGCAGUUUGCUGGGGAUUUUUAGUUUUUAAGUGUGAGCGACUUGUACACCGAUAAGCUUGGGUUGGAUGUUGAAGUGAGAUAUAUUGCUGAGGUCAGGACAUGGCAGAAUACUUAAGCUGCCAAAUUAAAGAGAAAAAUGAUAAGAAAUAAGAAGGUUGAAGCAGAUAAUAUGUUUGCCAGACCGUACCUG
ensembl:lncRNA